rnacentral:rRNA from 1 species
UACAGAGGGGGCAAGCGUUGUUCGGAAUUACUGGGCGUAAAGGGCGCGUAGGUGGCCUGUUAAGUCGAACGUGAAAUCCCCGGGCUCAACCCGGGAACUGCGUCCGAUACUGGCAGGCUUGAAUUCGGGAGAGGGAUGCGGAAUUCCAGGUGUAGCGGUGAAAUGCGUAGAUAUCGGGAGGAACACCGGUGGCGAAGGCGGCGACCUGGGUUGACAUUGACGCUGAGGCGCGAAAGCGUGGGGAGCAAACAGG